UUUGCAUAUUAGGAAAGGCUGAUUGAGAAGCUCACACUCUUUCCCACAAGUCCAGUAAGCCUCAUUGGCUCAGGUGGAGAUGAUGUUUACUCCUGGAGGUCCGUGUUGGGAGCAUCUGCAGAGAUCACAGAGAUUUAGGAACGUUGCAAGUAGAGUCAUCUCCAAGAUACCCAGGAGGUAUCAGCCAUACACUGUUGCAGACACCGCUGACAAGGAACGAGCUUCUUUCUGCUUUGGUCCUAGAUACGUGGAAGAGUUUUCAGCUUCCUAGUUUGCAUUAAAUUUCCAGAAUACAUCAUGCACCUCUUCUUUAGUUUCACCCAUGGAAGCACCAGAUGAAGAACCUUCCCAGAGAACAAUGUGUGUGACAUGUC